rnacentral:rRNA from 1 species
GUGGGGAAUAUUGGGCAAUGGGCGCAAGCCUGACCCAGCAACGCCGCGUGAAGGAUGAAGGUCUUCGGAUUGUAAACUUCUUUGAUCAGGGACGAAUUUUGACGGUACCUGAAGAACAAGUCACGGCUAACUACGUGCCAGCAGCCGCGGUAAUACGUAGGUGACAAGCGUUAUCCGGAUUUACUGGGUGUAAAGGGCGUGUAGGCGGUUUAGCAAGUCAGAAGUGAAAUUCCCGGGCUUAACUUGGGCGCUGCUUCUGAAACUGCUUUACUUGAGUGCUGGAGAGGAUAGUGGAAUUCCUAGUGUAGCGGUAAAAUGCGCAGAUAUUAGGAGGAACACCGGUGGCGAAGGCGGCUAUCUGGACAGUAACUGACGCUGAGGCGCGAAAGCACGGGGAGCAAACAGG